rnacentral:rRNA from 1 species
AUACGGAGGGUGCAAGCGUUAAUCGGAAUUACUGGGCGUAAAGCGCGCGUAGGCGGUUUGUUAAGUCAGCUGUGAAAGCCCCGGGCUCAACCUGGGAACUGCAGUUGAUACUGGCCGACUUGAGUACGAGAGAGGGAGGUAGAAUUCCAUGUGUAGCGGUGAGAUGCGUAGAUAUAUGGAGGAAUACCAGUGGCGAAGGCGGCCUCCUGGCUCGAUACUGACGCUGAGGCGCGAAAGCGUGGGGAGCAAACAGGAUUAGAUACCCUGGUAGUCCACGCCGUAAACGAUGUCUACUAGCCGUUGGGAGACUUGAUUUCUUAGUGGCGCAGCUAACGCAAUAAGUAGACCGCCUGGGGAGUACGGCCGCAAGGUUAAAACUCAAAUGAAUUGACGGGGGCCCGCACAAGCGGUGGAGCAUGUGGUUUAAUUCGAUGCAACGCGAAGAACCUUACCAGGCCUUGACAUCCUGAGAACUUUUC